rnacentral:lncRNA from 10 species
CCCAGGGCAAGCAUUGUGAUACUAACUAAUGCUUCUUGAGGACUUUCUGGGUCCCCAGCCCCAUUUGAGGGGUUUCAACUUAUUGCUCUGUCUCUCAGGGACUUAAGAAGAGCUUUGUACCCAAAGGAGAGGACGAAGACUGUUUUUCGGUGUGAGGCAUGAGGCACGUAAGCUGUAAAGUGCUCUUCAGUGGUGAGCUCUUCUUAUUACCAUGUGGCCACUCAAAGAAAAGUCAUUUGAAUCGAAGGAGAGGAUUGCAUCUCUCUUUUUAUCUGCUGCUCUCAGUGAGGCUCCAACACCAGUGAUGCAGUCAUCUCACUGAAGUUGGUUUUCUCCAGGAGAAGCUGAGCCAAAUGGAAUCCACCAAGCCCAGCCGCAGCCGGAAGCCCUACUCCUCCCUUACCUUGCCCAGCCUCAAAAAUACAGAAUCUGGAUCCCCCGGACUGACUCCUUCUUCCUUCUCCUCCUCCUCCUCUUUCUCUCUCUCUCUCUAUAAAUAUAAAUAUAUAUAUGUAUAGAUAUACUACAUCCAUAUAUAUAUAUAUAUAUUUUGAGACAGGUUCUGGCUCUGUCACCCAGGCUGGAGUGCAGUGGUGUGAUCUCAGCUCACUGAACCACCGCCUCCUAGGCUCAAGCCAUCCUCCCACCU